rnacentral:lncRNA from 1 species
UUGGAUCAAGAAAGUCAUUGGAAGAAGAGGAACAUCGGGGAAAUGUGCUUUAUUAAGAUGAAUAAUACAAUUAAUAAGAGGACGGAUACUCAAAAUUUAAGUUCUGUAUAUAAUGUAAUUUUAAAUUGUGACAGGGCCCAUAGUUUUGAUGGUACGGGUAUGUAGAUGACUGUUUUUUUUUUUGUGAGAACAUACAGUACAUUAUUAUCAGCUGUUAUUACCUGAGAGAAGAACUUGUAGUAUUGACAGAGUUUUAGUUAAUUAAUAUUUGUUAUUUAUUAGUUAAUGUUUAUCAAUUGAAACACGAAUAAAUGAAUUUGGAAUAUGAUGUGAAUAAGUUCAGGUUGUUAGCCUGCCUCGAUUCAUUUGACAUGUUUUUAACAAUUGAUGUUUGAUAAUUGAGCACCUGAAGAAGUCGGGAAACCGAUGAAACGUUGUGAAAAUUUAACAUAAACAUCGAAUAAAUAUUUCCAAUAAACUGUGAA